ACUCUUUUAUUCCCAGUGAAAGCACUUUAAUUUCUGCAUUUAACCUGGGAGUUAGACAUGGGGAUUCUGAGCUCCAUCUUCUAUAAAUAUUGUGGUCAUGCCGCCUGGUUUGUAGCACUUUGUUAUUGGGAGUUUUAAAGGCCAAUUAGAAUUCCACUUCUCGAUCCUCUUAGGAUUUCUUAAAUCUCUGGGCAGAUUUGCAGAAUUGUUCAUAAGCAAUCCAUUGUUUCCAGACCACUGUUUCUGACUGCUUUCUCAGAAAAGUAUGUUUCUAGGAAACAAAAACCAAAUUUAAAAUUGAAACAAUUAAACGGAACACAGGUGAGGAGAUCUUUCUACAGGUCUUUUUUCAUGCCAAAAUCUGGUUCAUUUAAAGUUUGCAGUGUUAUCUGUGGCAUUUCCAGUUCCCAGCUGCAGUUCAUGAGGCGUUCUGCUGUUCUUGCAGGGACAAGCAUUCUUUCUUGAGUAAGAAGUUAACUCAGGAGGCAGGCACGGCUCACACCUGUAAUCCCAGCUACUUGGGAGGCUAAGGCCAGAGGACUGCUUGAGGCCAAGAGUUCGAGACCAGCCUGGGCAACAUAGCGAGACUCUCAUCUCUUAAAAAACAAAAAAAAAAAAAAAAGAAAGAAAGAAAAAGAAAGAAAAAAAAUUAGCGAGGUGUGGUGGCACAUGCCUGUAGUCCUAGCACUUGGAGCCUAAGCUGGGAGGGUCUCUUGAGCCCACGAGUUCGAGGCUGCAGUGAGUUAUGAUCGUGCCACUGCACUUCACUGCACGUAGCAGGGGGU
rnacentral:lncRNA from 1 species